GUUGGUGAUUCUAGCGGCGGGGGCACACCCGGUCCCAUCCCGAACCCGGAAGUUAAGCCCGCCAGCGCCGAUGGUACUUAGGGGGCAGCCCCUUGGGAGAGUAGGUCAUCGCCGACA
rnacentral:rRNA from 1 species